UACAGAGGGUGCGAGCGUUGUCCGGAAUCACUGGGCGUAAAGGGGCGCGUAGGUGGCGCUGCAAGUCGGUGGUGAAAGCUCGUCGCUCAACGACGAGUCGGCCAUCGAAACUGCAGGGCUCGAGCACUGUAGGGGCAGAUGGAAUUCCGGGUGUAGCGGUGGAAUGCGUAGAGAUCCGGAAGAACACCAGUGGCGAAGGCGGUCUGCUGGGCAGUAGCUGACACUGAGGCGCGACAGCGUGGGGGAGCAAACAGG
rnacentral:rRNA from 1 species